rnacentral:rRNA from 1 species
GGCGGACGGGUGAGUAACACGUAGGCAACCUACCCAUCAGACUGGGAUAACCGCGGGAAACCGUGGCUAAUACCGGAUGAUCCUGAUCCCCGCAGGGGGAUGAGUUGAAAGGCGGUCUUUGACUGCCACUGAUGGAUGGGCCUGCGGCGCAUUAGCUAGUUGGUGGGGUAAGGGCCCACCAAGGCGACGAUGCGUAGCCGACCUGAGAGGGUGAUCGGCCACACUGGGACUGAGACACGGCCCAGACUCCUACGGGAGGCAGCAGUAGGGAAUCUUCCGCAAUGGACGCAAGUCUGACGGAGCAACGCCGCGUGAGUGAAGAAGGGUUUCGGCUCGUAAAACUCUGUUGUCAGGGAAGAACGCCGGUGGGAGUAACUGUCCAUCGGGUGACGGUACCUGACCAGAAAGCCACGGCUAACUACGUGCCAGCAGCCGCGGUAAUACGUAGGUGGCAAGCGUUAUCCGGAAUUAUUGGGCGUAAAGCGCGCGUAGGCGGUUCGUUAAGUCUGAUGUGAAAGCCCCCGGCUCAACCGGGGAGGGUCAUUGGAAACUGGCGAACUUGAGUGCAGAAGAGGAGAGUGGAAUUCCAUGUGUAGCGGUGAAAUGCGCAGAGAUAUGGAGGAACACCAGUGGCGAAGGCGGCUCUCUGGUCUGCAACUGACGCUGAUGUGCGAAAGCGUGGGGAUCAAACAGGAUUAGAUACCCUGGUAGUCCACGCCGUAAACGAUGAGUGCUAAGUGUUAGGGGGUUUCCGCCCCUUAGUGCUGCAGCAAACGCAUUAAGCA